AUACAUGUAAUGGGCAGAAUGAAGGGCUAAAUAAAUAAUUGAGAAAAAAAACAAAAUAGAGAAUAAUGGGAUGCUUAAAUAUAAAGAUGAGAUUUUUUUGCCAAAUUAAUAAAAGAGUAGAGAAAAAGGAAAUAAAAAUUUAGGAAUACAGAAAAGAAGAUUACGCAUCCCCUAUCCAUACCCUCAUAUUUUUUCAAAAAGUCAUUCUGUGCUUCAGUUUAGUUCAAAUUAGGGACAUAACUAUUUGCAAUUGGAACACUACAUUUCUUUUUGGAUUUGAAUUCA
rnacentral:lncRNA from 1 species